ACGUAGGGUGCAAGCGUUAAUCGGAAUUACUGGGCGUAAAGCGUGCGCAGGCGGUUGUGUAAGUCUGAUGUGAAAGCCCCGGGCUCAACCUGGGAACUGCAUUGGAGACUGCACGGCUAGAGUGCGUCAGAGGGGGGUAGAAUUCCGCGUGUAGCAGUGAAAUGCGUAGAGAUGCGGAGGAAUACCGAUGGCGAAGGCAGCCCCCUGGGAUGACACUGACGCUCAUGCACGAAAGCGUGGGGAGCAAACAG
rnacentral:rRNA from 1 species